rnacentral:lncRNA from 1 species
GGUGAGGAAGAGAGCGUUCUCCGAGAAAACCCAACUACUCUGCAUGAGGUUGCAAAACAACGCGAAUUGAGUGGGACGCUGGAAAGUGAGUCGGACGGGAUGUUGAAAAAGCAGAUCUCUCAUGCUAAGUCCAAAGAACUUAGUGGGCAUGACAUAUUUGCACCUCCACCUGAAAUCUUGCCCAGGACGGUGGUUUCACACGCACACACAAUGCAUCAAGAUAUGGGAGAACCUGCACCACGUAAUUUACGCACAUCUGUCAAAGUUUCUAAUGUAAGUGACUUUGUUGUGUUUGUCCUUACUCUUACCUCUGUCUUAAGCAUGAGAAAAUAGUUAUGUGGCAACUGAUACAGCAUGUCAGUUGAAAGUAACCACCUCCCCUCUUCCUUGGUGGCUUUGAACCUGGGUAGUUCUAUAUUCAAUGAAGACAUGCUAUUAUUGGUUGUCACAUUGGGAUAGAAGUCAACCACAUGACGUUUGAUACGUAUUGAAGUUUUUUCUCAUCAAGUAGGCCUAGUAAAAUGCAAUAUUUGAGAAGCUUCGAUGGAAUUAACCAAUGAUUAUCCAUGAUGCUUCUUGCAAGCAUAGCACUAUAUCGAUUCUUUCUCUAAAUCAUUCUUCUGAGGUAUUCUUGGAUCUAGAAUGACCUGACUUUAAUACUUUUACAUGGAUCAGCCUGCUGGAGGACAGAGCAAUAUAAUGUCCACUGAGGAACCUGUGCUGAAGACGGCAAAGAAGAUCUAUGACAAGAAAUUUACUGAACUUUCGGGAAACGACAUCUUCAAGGGCGACGUGCCUCCAUCAUCUGCGGAGAAACCACUAAGUGUGGCGAAACUGCGCGAGAUAAGUGGCAACGACAUUUUUGCUGAUGGUAAGGUAGAAUCUCGGGACUACCUGGGUGGCGUGCGCAAACCGCCUGGUGGUGAGAGCAGCAUCUCAUUGGUUUGAUAAGAUACGGCCUGGACCAACUAUUUCACGUGAUAGUCUUGUGUCUGGAUUUUCUUCUGGUUCUCACUGUGAACAUAUUCUGGUAUUACUCUCCUUUCAUUAAAUUCGUCGAGGGAUACGGCAAACUUCAUUCCAGUAUUUAACAUGAUUGGCUAGAGAUGUGACCGAUGUGCUAAUUGGUGUUAUGUGUUCAUACUUGCGUUUGGUUUAGCGAUUGUCCUAAUUUUCUGCAAGUUCAUCUACUGCAAUGAAUGGUUGCGUUUGUCCGUUCCAUCUUCUUACUCCCUGUGUAGUGUUAAAUCUUGAUUUCAGUACAUUUCAUUGGGAUACAGUGAUUAUCGAUUCCAUUCUGUUUUCAUCCUGUGCUGCCAAGUGAUUUAUGGCAAUUUUUUGUAGUUACAUAUAGGAUGUGGAACAUUCUCUUGUUAAAAUCCACGUCAAGGGAAAUUGAGUAUGUACGCCCUUUCAUUUAGCAGCCAUUCUCCACCUCGAGAUCGCUGGGCCAACCACCUAAGGUCUUAAUUCAAUAAGAUGUUAUCAAUGCUUGAUUGAUGCAUUCUGCUAAAAUUUGACAGCUACAGCAAACAAAUCAUUGCUGAAGUAUCAUUAGGAAUGGUUGUGGUCAAAAUUUACUUGGAUAAUGUGAUAUCAUAACCUUUUUUUGGGGUGGGGUGAGCAGUGUCGGCAAUCUUCUUGGAUGUAAGCAUAGGAGUUCUACAUUUAUGGCGUACUGUCAUAACUUUAUGUUCAUAGAGAUUUAUCCGAAAAAGAUUGAACUGUUGGUUUAAAUCAUGACAAGGGAAUGCUGAAUUUUUGAGAAUGGAGUGAGGGCCAAGCUAUAAGAGGAAAAUCCGAAACACUGGAGGGUUUACAAAUCCUUUUCGAUGAACUAAUAUCUUCAGUUCAUGCCCUUAAUAUCACAUUCAACUUCUGAAACGUGCUCUUACAUUUUUAUAUGGAUUUCCCAUUCUCCGUUCAUCUUACCUUCCUAAUAUAUAGUCUAGACAUCUUACCCUUCCUUGACUGUUCUGUGCACAGUUGAAUCGCCAUUCAUGCAGUACAAUUGUAAUAAUUAUUACUAAUUAAUAAACAAUACCCAUUAUAUUGGUUAAUUAAUAUAAUAUAAUCAUUACAUAAGCAAAUUGUUCUCAUGAUUAAUACUAUCCAAUCACGCAGGGCGCUAAGCUAUUAUGUAUAAUAGCUAUUAGAGUUUCAGCAGUAAUAGGCAUUAUAACGUUAUACUUACUACUGCAAGCUGAUAUUGUAAUGCGUCAAAGAGGAGUAAUGUAAUAAUCGUUGCCACAACCAAAGCGUCCACUUGUGGCUUCUGAAUCUUUGCUUGUCAUGAAUAUAAGCUCACUUUAUAAUAAUACACUCAUCUACGAAUAUAGAAAGUACCACUGGAGAUAUUUAUUCAUUUGCUAGAAGCUAUAGUUCCUCUUGCAAUUUCAUAUUACUGGGUUGUCUCCACCUCUGGACAAUGGCCACACUAGUGAGCGGCCGGAUGAGCCGAUAACACCUGAGAAACCAUCUUCAUGGAUGGCCUGAGUUGCGGAUUGGUGGAUAAACAAGCAAUUGCGAGCUUGAAGAUGACUAGAAGUUCAUCCUCAGUGCUUGGCAUUGGAGCUGGUAGGCGUGGAUCCAGCAUAUCUUUCAGGACUGUCACAAUCUCCUUAUCCGAUUCAGCUAAUAGGGAUGAGAUGGUUUCGCCUGGAUGUUUUCCAUGGAACACCUGUAUUGCCAUGACCCCAAAGCUGUACACGUCGCAUUUCUCAGUCACUCUCAUCGUGUAGGCAAGCUCUGCACAUAAGAAGAAAAUGCAUUAUUACUGGCAGAUUAUUACUUUUUAAGCUCACCAUAGAGGACUAGUAGAUAUCCAUGGAGUUACCUGGUGCAAUAUAUCCAUAUGUCCCAGCAACAGUGCUCCAAUUCGACGUGUCCAGCUUGAGAAGCUUGGCUGUGCCAAAGUCAGAAACAUGGGCCUCAUACUCAGAAUCAAGCAAGAUGUUGUUGCUUGAUAUGUCUCGGUGAACAAUGGGAGGCACACAGUCAUGGUGCAUGUAGGACAGAGCAUGAGCUAUGCCUCUCACAAUAUUUGCCCUCCUAUCCCAACCCAACUCUUUUGCUUCUCCAUCAUCGCUCAGGGUUGCAGACAGGUUUCCUCUUUCCAGAUACUCAUACACCAAGAACGAGUGUUGGGGAUGUGAGCAGAAGCCACGGAGUCUCACGAUGUUACGGUGUCGUAUUUCUGUCAAUGCCCGUAUCUCAUUCUGAAACUCCUUCUGAUUCGUUUGCCCGCUAUCAGACAUCUGAUGAAGCUUCUUCACAGCCACCACAUCGCCUGAUCUUAGCUUUGCUCUGUAGACUCUUCCAUAUCCUCCACAUCCAAUGCAGUAUCUCUCGUUAAAAUCCUCAGUCGCUGCAAUGAUUUCUUCGUGCAAUAUCCUUCCAUUGUAAGUAGAUAUAGAAAACAUUUUCUCUCUCUCCUGUGCUUGCUCCACUGUCGGCGGUCCUUUCUUCUAUGCAAAAUGUAGUAUACUCCGACGAAAGAAAGCAGGAGAAAUGCUCCAAGUACGAGGAAAACAAUGAGAAACACUUUCUUAACAGUGUUGGAUUUUUUCUUCUGCGGCUCCGAUUGACUACAAGGCUGAAGUCCAUCAACAUUUCCACAUAAUCCAGCGUUGCCUUGUAAUGCUUCUGUUGGAGCAUCUUGGAAUGCCGUGGUGUUUGGAACCGGACCCUGAAACUCAUUGUAGGAUAUGUCAACCGUGGCCAAACCUGGCAUAUCCUCAAAAAUUGCGUAUAUAGGGCCCGAAAGAUUGUUGUGUGAGAGGUCAAGUUUCACUAGACUUUGCAGAUUGCUGAAUUGUGCAGGAAUCUUGCCGAUUAAUGAAUUAUUGUUCAAGUCUAGCUCGGAUAAGUGAAUCAGCAUCCUGAUCUGGCCAGGAAUUUCUUGGCUUAACCGGUUGUUGCUCAGAUCCAAGUGGAAUAAGUCUGCCAACUGCCCGAUACUCUCAGGGAUAGACGAGUUUAAUCUAUUCCUGGACAAAUCCAUCAUUUGAAGACCAGAUAGGGACGCGAUCUUCGGACUUAUACUGCCAGAAAGUUGAUUCCUGCUCAAGUUCAACCUCACCAAAUAGGUCAAUUUCCCGAGUUCCUUUGGAAUCUCGCCAACUAAACCAUUGGAAGAAAGAUCGAGUCCUUGUAGUUCAGUUGCGUUUCCGAUCUCAGGAGGCAAGCUACCAGUGAUGUUGUUCCCAGCAAUUCGUAGAGUCCGCAGACGCUGACAACUUCCCCAGUUGGCCGAGAUUUCUCCAUAGAACUUGUUGAAACUUAAAUCUAUAAAGUCCAAGUUCGGGUAGAUGCCAAAACUGUCGGAUAUGUUUCCAGUGAGUUGAUUCUCCUCGAGGCGUACCCUGAGUAAGCUUGUGCAAUUUCUCAAGCUUUUGGGAAUGAAACCUGUGAGGUUGUUGCCACCCAAGGUGAGAUUGCGAAGUGAUCCACCUCGGCACAAGUUAUCUGGUAUGAAGCCAGUGAAUUGGUUCGUAUCUAAUUGUAGCACCACCAAGCUCAUCAAAUCCCCCAGGAAUCUAGGAAUGGAUCCGGAAAGUUGGUUCUCGCGGAGGAAUAAAUAUUUCAGUUUAGUCAUGUUGCCUAGAGAAGAAGGAAAAGGGCCACUGAGCUGAUUCAUACUCAGCUCCAAAUCGAUCAUAGCUCGAAGGUUUCCCAACUCAUCAGGAAUGUCAUCAGAAAGCAUGUUGCCAUACAGAUAAAGAAGGGUAAGCUCUGUCAAAUUGCCUAAUGUCGAGGGAAUUGAACCGGUAAGAUUAUUGUAGUGUAGGGCGAGUCGACGAAGAAGUUUCAAGUUCCCCAGCUCCGGUGGGAUAGAACCAGUAAGUUCAUUAUCAUAUAUGUGGAGUUGGGUUAGUUUCGUCAAUUUCCCAAAUGUGGAAGGAAUUGGCCCCGUUAGGAAGUUGAUAUCCAUGUAAAUCUCCUCCAAGUUUGUCAAAUUCCCCAUCUCAAGAGGAAUAGGACCAGAAAAUGAACUGUUAUAGAUGUAAAGUCUAGAGAGGCUGCUCAAGUUGCCCAAGGAAGAAGGAAGAGAUCCAUUCAACUGGUUUGAGUACAAGGCAAGCUCGUUUAACAAACGCAACUGACCUAUUUCAUCAGGGAUAGAGCCAUUCAACUCGUUAGAGGGCAAGUGUAACACCUCAAGCUUCAUGAGAUUGCCAAUCUCCCGUGGUAUUUUCCCGGAUAAUUGAUUAUAGGAGAAGUCAAGGUAGGUGAGAUUGGUCAAAAGACCGACUUGAGGUGGAAUACCGCCGAAGAGUUCAUUUAUGUACAUGUCUAUAUAGGUAAGAUACGGCAAAGACGAGAAUGGGAACUCAUCGAGUGUACCUUUGAUGUUCGAAUUGGUGAGAUUGAUUCCAAUCACGCUUCUGGCUAGGUUACACAAGAUGCCGUGCCAACCGCACGGGCUCGACGCUGUUGCAUUGGAGCCGGUAGCAUUUUGAGGAGGGAGAGUCCAUGAAGAUAGAGAAGAGGUGGAUAGGUUUUGGUUUAGAAGGCUUGAUUUCCAUUUGAGAAGGGCUUGUGCUUCUAGUGUGGAGGCAUAAGCAGGAAUUGCACGUUGUGGAAUGAUGACCAAAAGUGCUGUGAAAAGGGCAAAAGAGGCUAGAAGAUUCACUGGUGUCUCCAAUCCUGGUGAGCCCAUGGUUUCUUUCGUUUGUUCUGGAGGUUGAUGAUCAACCAUGAGGCAUAUAUGUAAAGCUUGGUUACUCUGUGUCUGUCAUUCUCCAAUUCCAUUCAAAGAAGGCCAAUUUUCAAAGAUCCUAAAUUUCCUGCUUGCUCAACGGUGCUGAUUGUGAUGGUUCAGAUGUUAACAAUCUGGCCAAUGAGUGAAAACGAGAAAUAGUCUAACCGCGUGUAGAGUUUCAUGUGGUUGGAACAAUGCGUUUGACUCAAAGCUUCCUUGACUCUGUUCUCUUUACUCGGUGCUAUCUCUGGUUUUUCUUGACGUGGGAGUGCCAACAGCCAGAUACUGCUAUUUUAAAGAUGAUAAUGCGUUCGUCAGCUAUCAUCAAUAGGGAAGAAAAUGAAGCCAGUCACUAUCGUUUUGCUCAGACUUUGUGACAGACAGGAAAUUUGACUGAGUAUUUACUCGAUAAAUUAAAUAAAUCUUUUUAAUACCAAGUGGAUCUGCGCUUUGGAUGUUGUAUAUGGCCUAAUUCUUCCUUUCUGGAAGCACUUAUGAUGGAAUUACCUUCCAAGCGCUCUACUGGGAGAGUUUGUAGAUGAAGAGUGGGACACAGAAUAAAGGACCUUCACGUUUAGUUUCUUUUUGAGCCUUUUUAUGGUUUUAACCCCUUUGCUCUUUCCUUCUAGAGGAACGGCGAUGUUUCCUUGUAGCUUCUCGCUGAAUCUGAUUGAUGCUUUGAAUAGUUUAGGUACCUCUUUUACUAUGUGAAUUUCGACUAGAUUUGCUCUUUUAGAAGAGAAGCAGGACAAAAUGUACUUGUGUGAACCUUCUAACUGUACUUUGUUCAGGCAAUAUCUAGAAACAUUCGCAUCAAAGGGAAAAUGAAACGAACAGUAAGAGACUUCUGCUAUUUUCGCCUUAACAUGCGCUCUUAAGAUCGAAAAUCGAGUUUCUGGUCUCUAUAUGACACAACGUUAUUUAUGUAAGUGGGAAACUACCAUGGAAUACAUGGAUUCUAAGUCUUAAAUCACCCUAAACUUUUAUUUCCAUGUAAAUCCACAGUUUAAUAACUCCUUUACUGAAUCUUGCAGUUCAAAUUUACAUUACUCCUGGCCUAAUUCCUAAAAUUACUCUAAUUAGAUGAACAACGAGUUCGAUUAUUUACCAAAUGUUGUAAAACGAAGCCAAUCCAGCUUGGCGAGUUCACAGUGGUGUGUAGACGCAAGCUUUUCUCUCCUCUCUUCCUUGCUAUUAUUGUCAUUGUUUAUGUUUGUUUUUCGCUUUUACACUUCACAUGCAUCUAAUGAAGGAGAAAAGAGUGCAGAUUACAUCGGCCAAUGCAUGGUAGGAUAAUGUAGGUUGAGCUUUUAUUUGUUAAUUCAUUUAUCUUAGAUUUCGCUCUUACAGAUGUUAUAUAUGUGCUUGUUCAACUUUUUUAUUCUGAACUACAAAAGUAUUGGAGAUGUCGAACCUAUAUGCACACAACCAAUAGGCAAAGCCAUAGUAAUAUAUAGAGAUUUCAUUGUGUAUUUAUUACUAAAUACGGAUUCAGUGAUCAGUCGCUGUUUUUGUAAUUAAUUUUUGAGCGAGUUUUGAGGAUAUAUUUUGUUAUCUGGAGCUUAUUUUGUUUUGAAGCUGUCUACGAGUUGUCUUGAUUUGCAGUUGGACUAAAUUAUUUUUCUCUUAUAUUUACGUGGGAAUGAAUGAAAUGUUAUCUUGACCAAAAAAAAAAAAGGGGUAAGAAAGAAGAAUGGGCAAUAGCACCUACGGCUGGGUUUGUGGUGGCGGCCUAGUUUGCCCCGAGUUUACCCCGCCGGCUGCCGGCUGUAUGGGGGGUUUCCGGGUCAUCAAAAUAAAAAAUAAAAAGGGCAAUAACAAACUUAGUUAUAGUCACGGUCACCCUUCAAGUCUGUAUUUUUUACUUGGGGAACGACCCCAUCCCUUCAUAAAAUAAGGGACGAAGCUUUUAAUUAACACAAACCAUUUUCAGAAAUGUAUUAGUCGUAUAAAACCUGACAUUAACGAAAAUAAUCAUAAGGUCCAACGUAUCAUGAAUGUACCCAGCUGAAUUUCCUUCAGAGUCGGUCUAAUAAGCUCAAUAAAAAUAGCAAGAUAGAUCCUAAAUUGAAUCCAUCACUCUCCUCUAUUCUUGAAAUCUGAAAUGGCAAUAAAAGGGGGCGAGCAAAACCCCGGCUCAGUAAGUGAUAAUCACCACUUCCGUGAAAUCAAGUAACGAAGGAUGCGGUUGUACAAUAACAUGCAUAUGCAGGAAUUGCACCUUGUGAAGUGACUGCUAGCAUUGCGAGAAGGGCAACGGGAGUCGGUAGCCAGAAGACGUACCCCUUCCUCUAAAACUUUUUGCCAGUCCUUGAUUUUCUGGUGUGGUUCUGGAGCAUGAUGAUCAACAAAGGGUUGCCUGCUCUGUUUCUGCCGUUGUUCUUUACUCCAUUCAUAAAGGGCCAGCUUUCAAAGAUCUCCCAUUUCAGGAUUUUGAAAGCUUCUGAUCAUGAAGUUUCAGCUAUUGACAAACUGUAUUUUGUUUAUACAGAGCCCCGUGUAUGCUGAAGUAAGUGGUUGACUUCACUCCACCUCGCUAAUUUUUUUUUACCAAUGGGGGACAUUCCUUUGCUUGCUAAAAUACCGACCUUUGACAACUGGAAUGCGUGCAUCACCGGGCAAUAAUUAAUGAGAAAAACAUACGUUGACUUGGAUCGGUCUUCUUUGGCGACUUGUUGACUUGGAUCGGUCCCCAUGUCGGAAUUUGGUCCCCAUCGUUGGGCGAAAUCCAGAGAAUUUGAUAGAGAAGUCGUUGAGGAGAGUGAUAUUCCUAACUUGUUUCACACAUUAUGCAAUUCUAAGCACGCAAAAGGGAAGUCUUCUCAUCCGGCAUUAAUGAAGCCAAAUCCUGCCUCGGUUUUGACCCCGUUCUUGCAGAAACGAUAGCUGAUAAUAAAGCUAAUGAGUUUGGAUCACACCCACUUGCAAACUCACAUCAAUCUAAAGGAAAAUUGAAGAAGAGAAAUCCAAAUUGUCUAUGGCCUGCUUGUUCCAACCUUUUCUGAUAAAUGACAAGGUGGCUGUGGAGACCCGCAUUUAUCGAUAUUUCUCGAUUAUCAAGUUCAUCAUCAUUGCCGGUCUCUUUGGGCCUACGUAGAAAAGCCGAUCCUGAAGUGGCUGCUCAAGAGGCUGUUCAACCGGGAGUUCCCGGGGUGGGCGUCCUGAAUAUUUCAUUGUCAGAGAAGGUGAUCGUUGGCGAAUAACUUCAAUCUAGCUUCUGCUGGAGGCGAUGAGUGCCAGCGUGAGGAUGUGAAAUCGUAGAAUGCAGAGCACGCAGUUUAAAGUUCGUUGAUGGGGAGGGUGCAAAACUAAAUCACGCAGUUCGUAGUUUUGCAAAACUGUAGACACUUCUCGAAUAUCUUUACAUUUUCAUGAUUUCCUAAAUUGUUCAAAUUGUACCACUCUUGUGCAAGUUCGCUGGUGAGGCUGUUGUCAAGGAGGUCAUGCAGAGUGAAGGAGGAGGCGUAAGCAAGAUGAAAAGAAACACAAAAUGGAAAAAGAAAAAAAAAAGAAAGAAAAAGAAAAAAAGCAAAGUCCUUAGAGGAAAGAUUUGGUUGACUUGUAGGUUGAAGCCUUCAUUUGAGAUGGUGCCCACUUUAAGUUGUUUCAUAAAACGGUUUCACUUCAAGUUCUUAUUUGAAAUUUACUAUUAUUUUAUUAUACUUGAAAGUAGAUGAAUAUUUGCAAUUAAAGUAUGUUUACUUAAAGGAAAUCUAAUAUGAAAAUUAAUUUUCAACUUUCUGGUAUUUAUAUGACAAAAAAACUAAUCGAAUUGUGGAUAAAGUUUUUCAUGGAGUGAAACCUAACUAUUUGACUUGAAAAUACUUUUUAUAAAGAAUAUUUUUUUACCAUUAAAUUUUCAGUACAAUAAAAGGACCCUCGUUUCAAAUAAUUUACCUUUUUUGAGCUCCGUAAGUGGGCUCAAUUAUUGAGAAAGAGCGCACUGUGAUUAUUUUGGAAUUUUGAAGUGCUCGAUGGCUCCAAUAGAAAUAGUCCCGCAAGUUAGACGGGGCAAAUAAUUUUGGUGUUGGAUCAUGAAUAUGCAUAACUUGGAUUAUAUCGAAGUUUAAUGACCAUCGCUGGAUCUACAUAUAAGAACUAAUUAUCCUUUUAUUUAUUAGCUUCACGAUUCAUUUUCAUUUUAGUUUAUUGUAUUUAUUAUUAUUGUAAUAUAUCAAAUUAAUGACUAACAUUGCCUUGCUUUGAUUAAAAAAUCUAAUGACCGUAGGAAAGUGAUGGACAUUUGUUUUUAAUUGGUUAUUUCUUUCCCUAUACUAUUUUCCAUGAGCAAGGGAAAAAUUAUUGAAAAUCAAAACGUAAUUGGAUUGAGUAUGAGUUAAAUCCAGUGGAGUUUUGUAUAGGUUGCUAAAUUUGUAUUAUGUAAAGAUGGAACUGUUUGAGUUAAAUGGUUCAAUUUAAAUCGAACCCAAUCUGACCAAUAAAGGUUGUACGAUCAUCAAUUUUACUAGAAAAGCACAAGAUAAAUUUAAGAGACUAUCAAUCCUAAAAGGGCAGAGAGAAGCAUAAUCAAUACUUAAUCACAAUAGACAUCGGGUUGGAUUCCGCAAGUAUCCGAUGCCAUUCAAGAUAAAUUAAAUUUGGCUAAAUAUGCUUUAUACUGCAUUCUAAAAUCUUUGUUUCUCUUACUGUGAAUUCUGAAUAGUUUAUAAUGUGCACCGGUCCUUUUUAAUAAAUGAACUCGAUUUACACGUUCAGUGUUAGGCAAUGAGUUCUUACUAUUAGUGGCCACCAGCAAUUUAUGACUAUGCAGAAAAUGCAAAAUUUUAUUUUUUUACUGAUAAGUGCUGUGAAAAUGUUUGGGCAUAUCUAUAUGUAUAUAUUCCCAUUCAUUCAUUCAUGGUUCCUUUCUUUCCUUCCUUUUUUCUGUACAUUGAAGCCACUUUUUGCAACUUCUAGGAAACCGUGUUCGGGUUACAAAAUGAAGGAGAUAACUGGAAGUGGUAUCUUUUCGGAUAGUGGAGAAACUGAUCCGUCAGAGUCUGGCAAUAUUACUCCUAACAACAGAACAGGAAUCCGAAUGUACCAGGUACUUCUGUUUUCGGUUUUCCUUUUUUGGCCUGGGACAAAUGCACCAGGUCCUAAUUCCUGCAUAGAUAAUCUUAAAUCUCCAUGGUGAUUCCUAAUUUACUUUGACUUCCUCUGUAAAACAUUCCUAGCAAGCCCUUGCUGGAAUCAGUCACAUCUCCUUUGGUGAGGAAGAGAGCGUUUCUCCGAGAAAACCAACUACUGUGCCUGAGGUUGCAAAACAACGCGAUUUGAGUGGGACGCUGGAAAGUGAGUCAGACGGGAUGUUGAAAAAGCAGAUCUCUCAUGCCAAGUCCAAAGAACUAAGUGGGCAUGACAUAUUUGCACCUCCACCUGAAAUCUUGCCCAGGACGGUGGCUUCACACUCACACACAAUGCAUCAAGACACGGGAGAACCUGCACCACGUGAUUUGCGCACAUCUGCCAAAGUUUCUAAUUUAAGUGACUUUGUUGUGUUUGUCCCUACUCUUCCCUCUGUCUUAAGCAUGAGAAAAUAGUUAUGUGGCAA